GACGAACGCUGGCGGCGUGCCUAAUACAUGCAAGUCGAGCGAGCGGCGGACGGGUGAGUAACACGUAAUGAACCUAACGAUAAGCGGGGGACAACAUCCGGAAACGGGUGCUAAUACCGCAUACUUAUCGAAGGCCUUGCGGUGCAUUAGCUCGUUGGUGGGGUAACGGCCUACCAAGGCAAUGAUGCAUAGACGACCUGAGAGGGUAAUCGGCCACAAUGGGACGGAGACACGGCCCAAAGUCCUACGGGAGGCAGCAGUAGGGAAUCUUCCGCAAUGGGCGCAAGCCUUACGGAGCAACGCCGCGUGAGUGAAGAAGGUUUUCGGAUCGUAAAGCUCUUUUGUAAGAGAAGCGGUAUCUUACCAGAAAGCCACGGCUAACUACGUGCCAGCCGCCGCGGUAAUUC
rnacentral:rRNA from 1 species